ensembl:lncRNA
GUAUGAAGAAUUAAGAUGUAAAAUUUCCACCUUCUAGUGCUUUUCUUUCUGUUUGGUCUAGCAGGACUGGUACCAGAAAGUCACUUGGGUGGACCUGUGUGUGAUUGUGUGGUGGUGUGGGGGAAGGGGGAGAAUGGGUUCUCUGGAGAAAAUAAAGGAAACAGGCUCUGGAAGGGUAUACUAGCUUUAUUGUCCAGCAAAGCAAGGCAGGGAGAAAUAGAAGAUGAGGAAAAGGAAAUGCAUGCGUACUAAUGAAAUGGCACUGUGCCAAGUCACUGUUCUAAGUGUUUGACAUAUUUCUUCUCAUCCUAUUAGCAUCUGGUGCUAUUAUAUGUGUAACUCUCCCUAUUUUGCAGACAAACAGAGGAAGACACUGAGAAGUGAAGGGACUUGCUCGAGACCAAAUAUUUUGUGUUUGAGGAAGUAAAUGUUCUGGAAGCAGGAGCACUCCCGCCCUCAAUGAUUCAUCUUAUCUGCAUGACAUCUCGUUGUGAAAAGAGUACUCAAUAUUGUUUGAGGGGCUGCAUUGAAACACAGAGAGAAGAGAAGAAGAAAGAAGAUUAAGCAAAAAAUGUCUCCACAGUUAGGAGGGAACUUCCUUUCUCUGGCUUCACGUUUCCUAUGGGGGAACUUCCCAUAGAGAAACACACCUUCUCCCUACUCCUUCACCUGCUCCUUUUCAGGGAAGGAGGGAUGAACAUAAUCACAGAGUUUGGAACUAGGCGUUGGGUUUGGACAGCUCAGCUCCUCUGAGUUUCUUCUCUCUUUCUGGAGCCAGUCUGCCCACUGGAAAGCAACAUUGGCACUCUUGACUCUCAAGCCUUUGGACUAGAACUGAAUUACACUACCAGCUUUCCAGUUCUCCAGCAUGCAGGCAGCAGAUCAUGGGAUUUCUUGGUGUCCAUAACCACGUGAGCUAACCGCUAUAACAAAUCUCUUAUAUGUACAGUCAUGCGUUGCUUAACAACAAGGAUACAUUCUGAGAAAUGCAUCGUUAGGCAGUUUUGUUGUGCAGACAUCAUAGAGUAUACUUGCACAAACCUAGGUAGUAUAACCUGCUAUGCACACAAGCUAUGUAGUACUAAUCUUAUGGGACCACCAUUUGUAUGUGCGGUCUGUCAUUGACCAAAACAUCAUUAUGUCAUGCAUGACUCUAUCUCUAUCUCUAUCUAAUCUCUAUAUUGUAUUGGUUCUUUUUCUCUGGACAACUCUGAUUAAUACAGCACUGUAAUUGCUCAAAGGCUGCUCUCUCAGAGAGACAUCAGUGUGCACACACAGGUUUCUUCACCACCCCACCAUGAAGACAGCAUGAAAAGAUACUCAAAUUCAAUUUUAACUAGUUUUAAAUUCACACAUCAUUGAUCUUCAAAAACUGGAAUUGAUUGGCAUCCUUGAGGAUGAAAAGCAAGGUUUCUUUUCCUCCAUCUACCCUCCUUCCUUCGGAUCCUCCUGAGUUACUGCUUGGUAUUUGGAAACAUGUUAUAGUUGUAGGUUAAUUAUGGGGUUCUGGAAACCUAAUUUUCCUUGGGGAAACUGUUCAAGGGGCUUAUUUUUGGCUUGUUUUCUAUAUUUUGUAAAUGUGGAGCUGAGAAAAGUUGGAAUGCUGCUAAAUCCCCGACGUUACACAGAAUCUGAGGGAGACAUCUCUGGGUGAGUUAGUGAAAUAAGAAAAUGUGGUAAGGUGACUUUUGGACUUUUUUUUAACAUCCAGGGUAAAGGGGUUUAACUGUUCUUUUUUUUUUUAGGGUGAGGAAGAUUGGUGCUGAGCCAACAUCUACUGCCAAUCUUACUCUUUUUGCUUGAGGAAGAUUGUCAUGAGCCAAUAUCCAUGCCAAUCUUCCUCUAUGUUGCAUGUGGGACACUUGCCAUAGCAUAGCUUAAUGAGAAGAGUGUCUGUCCACGCCCAGAUCCGAACCCGCAAACCCUGGGCUACUGAAGCGAAGCACACAAAUUUAACCACUACGCCACUAGACCAGCCCCAAAGGGGUUUAACUUUUUAAAUUUUUCCUUGGGAAUUUGAUAGUGAAAGAAGGUUUACAUCAAACACUGCAGCAUAAUUCUACUGUUGAUAAUGUAGAAUUAAAAAAUUUUCUCUCAUCAUUUGAAUUUAUUAUGUACCAUUUUGGGAGCUAUAUUGGACAACAUGGCCUAACAUAAUAAAAAAUGAGAAGCCAAAGAGAAAUUGAAAAAUUUUAAAUGAAUUUUUAUAUUAAAACCACUUUUUAAUUCCUUAUUGGAAGAUCUGAGAAUUUCCCUAUGGAUUAAGCAAUUGCAGGCUUGCCAUCCAGGCCUUCAAAUUUGUACCAAAUGGUAAGGGAGCUCCUAGAAGCUGCAUUUUCUCCAGUUCUCAUCCUCACUGUGGCUUUGGAAGACAACGGACCAAGGAAAUCUUCCUGGAGAAUAGAACUGCGAAUAAAUGAACUGUCUGACCAAGGAGCACGUGUCACCGUUUGGACCAAGCUCCCGUGAUAUUCUUAUGCGGUGUUCAUUGGAGGAGAGUUUGACUUGACUUCCUUUUGGGAAAAGCUGAGUGCACAUCAUGGAGCUGUGAUCCUUGGUGGAAGUGUGUAUCAGAAGAAAAAUGUACUUGCAUGAGGAAUAGCCAGAGGAGUGAACUGCACCACAAACUUGUUGUUUCUGCGUUCCUCUCCCAACAAUCUAUGACUUCUGUUUGGGUAUCCCGGUAGUUCUGAGGAACAGACUCCACCCCCUUCUCCAGCUCCGGUUCUGGGCUGUCAUCCCCCACUCCCACGGCAGUGAUCCAUUCAGUGCGGACACGUGACCUAACGUGGUUCAGUCAGAUUGAUUCUCAGUAGUUCUGAAACUUCAGACAAAAACACUGUUCUUCCCAACUAUGGGGUAGUAUGUGGAUGCAAGCCCUGUUCUCGAUGUAGACAUUUUUGUUAACAGCAGGGAAUCAGCCUGAGGAUGAAGCCAAAACGCCACAGACAGCAGAGCCAAGAAUUUGGGCUGCAGGCUCCGUGACAUCAUAAACUGCUGCUCUAAUCUUGUCUGAACUUUGCCCUGACUCUGUCCUUUUUGGAUACGUAAGCCUAUAAAUUUUGUUUAGUUUUAAGGAAGGUGGUUAAGUUUUAAUUGUAUUAAUUGAAAAGCUCAUGACACAUUAUCAUUGUAUGCAUCAUGUUUUCUUAUGCAAAUAUAUGCAUAGAAUGAAUUCCUGGCAGUAGAAUUUCCAAGCAUAAAUUGCCCAAUUAAAACAGACACACACAAAAAUAAGGUUAGAAACUGACAUGAAAUAGUGUAUAUUAGGUGGAAACAUGUCUCUUAUGUCAAUAUUUGUAAAUGUAAAAAACACAUUAAUAGGAAGAUUCUUAGAUUAAGUCACAAAACAAAACCCAGUAACAUUUUAUAUAUGACACAGUUAAGCCAAAUGAUUGUGUGAAAAAUAUGUGUUCUUGGUGAGAGUGACUACUAGCUUAGUUAUGAUUGGUAGUUUAAUUGGAGGUACAACUAGCCUUGCUGCUUAGAUACUAAAUCUCAAAAAGGAGCCCUUCAAAUAUUACUUGAAUACAUCUAGGCCUUCUUGUUCUCCUUGGUGGAGCAAAGAAUGCAUAUAACAGUCUCACCAUCUGAGCAUUGAGAACAAUGCAAAUCUUUAAGUCUCUUAAAAUGUCAGCAAAAUGGUGGGGGAGGGAGGGCAUGAUUUCAUCAGAGCACACGGAAUGAAACUUUCUCAAGGCAGUUUCUUACCAGAAUCUUAUUUACCCAUGGCAGCCCUUUCUCCACUGUUUCUUCCCUCUUCUUCACACUGUCUAGCCUCCUCUAGCAACUUUUCUGUUUUCUUGGAAAAAUUUCAUGAACUUUUUUGUUUUUUGUUUUUUUUGGUGAAGAAGAUUGGCCCUGAGCUAAUGCCUGUUGCCAAUUUUCCUCUUUUUUACUUGAGGAAGAUUGGCCCUGAGGUAACAUCUGUGCCAGCCUUCCUCUAUUUUGUAUGUGGGUUGCCACCCCAACAUGGCUUGAUGAGUGGUGUAGGGCCGUGCCUGAGAUCCGAACCCAUGAAUCCAGGCUGCCAAAGCAGAGUAUGCCAAACUUAACCACUAUACCACCAGCCCAGCUCCACUUUUUUUUUUAAUAGAAAGAGAAAUAAAUUUUCCUAUUUAUAAAAUAUAAGAAGGAAAAGGGCCCUGGGUAUAAAAUCUAAAUGUCUAGGAUGUGAAUGGUCGGGAACACAUAAUAUGACUCUGCUUCCGUCAGUCAUGAGUGUGAGGUGCAAGGAAAAUAGGGCCUGAGAGCUCUUUCUGUACCAGACAGAAAACCUCACAAGAGUAAGAGCCACAGAGCCUCUGUGAAGAAGAUGGAUCAGAGAGAAGUGAAUGGUGUAGAGCAGAAAUUUAACUCUCUCUCUCAAUUUCUUUUCUUCGUAAGCCUACCCCUAAGACUCUGGCCUAGUUGGUGGUCCUCCCAAAAGGAUUAGCUCAUAGUAGAAAUGUGUGCACGUGGGACGGGAGAUAGAGGGAGGGACUCCAGCAGAGGAAAUGUUUACGAAUGCACACACUCUAAGAUCACCUGUCUGCCACAGAGCCAUAGGUUUCCUCUCAUAGUUGUUAACCAAUGUGUAAGUACAAUUUUGUAUGCUAGUUUUUCCCUUAAAGUGAUGGCAUAAAGAUUUUACCAUGGCUGUAUCAACUCUUCAUCAAUACUGUCUCUAACUUUAAUAUCAGUGCAAUAUUUCUUUGGGUCUAGAAUAUCUUAAUCUAAUUAGAUAGUCUUCAUUUUUGUGCAUUUGUAUCAAACUUUCUUUAUGUGAUAAAUAAUGUGCUCCCCCCUUUGCAUUGAGAAACACAAAAAUGACUUGUUUACUGUCACAGAGACCUUUGUUUCUCCAAUUCAGAUAGGUAAAUUGUCUAAAUUCUGUACUCUGGGCCCUAGAAAUGAAGGAUAGAAAAUGAGGAGAGGAAAAGAAACCAAGCCGUUCUUGAGGAAAGAAAUGGGAAAAGGAGUUAUAAGGAGGCGAUAAAAUUGUUUCUUCUCCAGGACAAACAAGUGAAAAAAUUGGGCUCCCCUCCCACCAGGAAUUCUGGCUCCCACUUAUGGAUCCUGAGACUGGCAGAUUUUUCCAGGCUGUGGAAAACUGAUACUCAGCUGAGGAAUCACAUCACAGGCUGUAACACUUAAUGUUAUUAUUUUUCACUUGAUUGUGCAAAAGAAGUGUGUUAAUAUGACUUCUAGGACUGAUACCAAGUAAGUACACUGCCUACAAUUGCUGCUUUGUCUUAUUUUGCUCUUGUUCCAAAUUCAAAUGAUUUUAUCCAUCACUUCAUUCAUCGCUUAAGGAGAUGAC